GACCCUUCAAAGUUGUACAAGAAAGCUGGAGAAGUUGCAACAGUUGAAUUACAUAUGGAAGAAGGUAUACAAGUAGAAACAAAUCCUUUAUCUAAGAAAGUUACCCCCUUGCACUCUGAAAUGACAGAUUAUAUAAAGUCAUCUCCUCCGACUCUUAUCAGUAGCCAUAAUUCUGACUUAAAGGAUAGAACACAAAUUAAUGGAGCAACAACUGUAACAGAAAAAUUGGCUCAACUUAUUGCAACUUGUCCUCCUUCAAAGUCUUCCAAAACAAAGCAGAAGAAGCCUGGAAAUGGAACUGCAUCUGGUUUGGUUAAAGACUCUGGGAAGAAGCUACCAGGAACCAUAACUGCAAGUGGGUUAGUUAAUAAAGAUUUAAUAAAGAAAUUGCCAGGAUCUGGUAUUGCUGUUGGAUUGGUUAACAAGGACUCAGGGAAGAAGCCAUUAGGGAUUGGUGGUGCAGCCAUAUUGCUUAACAAGGAUUCUGGGAAGAAGCCACAAGGGAUUGGCCCAUUAAUUGGAUUGGUUAACAGGGACUCUGGAAAGAGGCCACCAGGUAUCAGCACUCCAGCUGGGUUAGUUAACAAGGACUCUGGAAAGAAGCAGCCAGUGACCAGCUCUGCAGUUGGGUUAAUCAGCAAGGAUGUUGGGAGGAAACUUCCAGGUAUCAGCACUCCAACUGGAUUGACUAAUAAGGAGUCUGUCAAGAAGCCAGUAGGAAUUGGCACUCCAGCAGGAUUGAUUAACAAGGAUGCUGGGAAGAAGUUGUUGGGAAUAAAUAGUCCUACAGGAUUGGUUAACAAGGAUUCUGGGAGAAAGAUGCCGGGGACUGGCAAUACGACAGUUCUGACUAACAAAGACUCUGGAAGGAAGACACCAGGGAUUGGCAGCCCAGUGGGACCAGUAAACAAGGACUCUGGGAGGAAGAUGCCAGGGAUUAGCGGUCCAGUGGGAUUGGUUAGUAAGGACUCUGGAAAGAAGCCAACAGGAAUUGGCAGUCCGGUUGGUUUGGUUAACAAGGACUCUGGAACUCUGAAAGCGGACUGUCUUAUGCCUGCCUCGGAGCCCUUUAAGCUUCCUUGCAAUUCAAACCUCAGUAGCUUUGAAAGCCAUGAGACUACAGAUAUACUGAAGGAAAAUACUACUAGCAAAACAUUUGAGAAGCAUAUUAUGAGACAGAAUAAAGAAAGUAUCUUGGAAAAAUUUUCAAUUCGGAAAGAAAUUGCUGAUGUAGGCAAAGAGAUGUUUAAUGAAGGAAUCUGCAUUCCACAGGAUAGUUACUCAACCAGUGAAAAAGGGAUUUAUGAAACAUCUAAGCAUGAAAAACAGCCUCCAGUAUAUUGCACUUCACCAGACUUCAGAACAGGAGGUGCUUCAGACGUAUCGACGGCGAAGUCCCCAUUCAGUGCAGUAGGAGAGGGAAAUCUCCCAUCACCUUCACCCACAGUGUCUGUUACCACCUUAAACAGGAGCCUCCCAACAACAUCUUCACAGUUAGCAUCUAACUCAUUGCAUUUAAGUUCCACAGCAGAUCUCUUAGAAGGUAUUUCAGAUCAGAUUGGUAAAACUCAGUUUUCUUCUGACAGUACACUUCUGAAUAUAAACAGAACAUUGAACCAUACUCUGAGCACUGAUUUUAAAGGUGCUGAUAAAGAUUUAAAUGAUUCAAAAGAAUCUUCAAAGCCUAGUCCUUCUACAGGGAAAAAGCCUAUUUUGGCAGCUGAAACAAGCAUUCAUGCUACUGUCACCCCUUCAGUAGUUAGUUUUACAAGCUUGUUUAGUAGCAAGCAGUUCCUAAAGAUUGGUGCAAUAGCUGCAUCGGAUAAAUCCUGCCAAGGAGCAAAAAAUCUGAGCACUACUCAGCAAUCAAAACCUUUAAAGAAAAGAAAAGGAAGGAAACCACGAUGGACUAAAGUGGUGUCAAGAAAUACAUGUCGACCUCCGAAGGGUCUAGAACUAGAAAGGUCAGAGCUUUUUAAAAACAUUUCAUACAGUGCACUAUCAAGCAGUAAUUUGGAGCAGGCCAAAUUCUUGAAAAACAUAGGAUCGUCUUCAUUUGUGGAGCAUGAGUUUGUGAAGCAUCAGUUGCCAAAACUGAAUGAAGCUAAUGGACAGUCUCUUGCACUGUUAGCUGAGACUGACAAGCAAACUCAAAAGUUCUACAGUACUCACAAACAACCCUCUAGUUUGUGUAUGUCAGAUGAUUUCUUACCUGACAUGUAUAAACCCAAAAGAGGAAGACCUAAAUCCAAGGAGAUGCCAGAGCUUGAAGGUCCCCCCAAAAGAACUCUAAAGAUUCCGGCAUCAAAAGUCUUUUCAGUACAGUCAAAAGAAGAGCAAGAACCUCCAAUUUUGCAGCCUGAAGUAGAAAUUCCUUCCUUAAACCAGAGCUUAUCGGGACAACCUUUUCCUAAAAAGAGAGGGAGACCUAAAAGGCAGAUCAGGUCGUCAAUUAAAAUGAAGCCACCUAUUCUUUCUGUGGCACCUUUUGUUGGAACAGAUAACUCAAGCAAGAUAGAGUCUGAAAGCGAUCAACAUCGAAGUGGGGAUUUUUUUGAGAGAAAGGACCAGCUCCGAGGGCCAGAAGAAGUCCAAAAACCUAGUAUUUGUAGCAUGACUGAUUUGGAAGUAGACUCAGACAGGAAAGUUGCCAAGAGAAAUAAUGGACAGUUAAUGAAAACAAUUAUUCGAAAAAUAAAUAAAAUGAAAACUCUGAAGCGAAAGAAACUUUUGAAUCAGAUUCUGUCUAGUACAGUGGAACCAAAUAACAAAGGGAAAGUGCAAUCUAAACUCCACAAUACAGUGUCAACUCUUGCUGCCACAUUUGGUUCAAAAUUAGGCCAGCAAAUAAAUGUCAGUAAGAAAGGAACAAUUUAUAUAGGAAAAAGGAGAGGAAGGAAACCUAAAGCUGUCCUGAAUGGUAUUUUAACUAGCAGUUCUGCUAGCUUGACAGUUCUUGAGAAGUCUGCUCAACAAGCUCCUGGUACAUCACUAGGACAAGUACUUCCCCAUUUGCUGCCUUCAACAGCUAAUAAUUCCGAGGUUCUUCCAUCUCCAGUUUGUUCCCAGUCAUCUGCUGUGAGUGGGGGACAGAGCCCUGUUAGCAGCGAUGCAGGAUUUAUUGAGCCCAGCUCGGUGCCAUAUUUACACAUACACUCCAGACAAGGAAGUGUUGUUCAGACACUUGCAAUGAAAAAAGCUGCUAAGGGAAGGAGGAGAUUAUCUCCACCUACGUUGUUGCCAAACUCUCCUUCUCACUUGAGUGAGCUGACAUCACUGAAAGAAGCUACUCCUUCCCCAGUAAGUGAGUCUCACAGUGAUGAGACAAUUCCCAGUGACAGUGGAAUAGGAACAGAUAAUAACAGUACUUCAGAUAGAGCGGAGAAGUUUUGUGGGCAAAAGAAGAAAAGGCAUUCGUUUGAUCAUGUUUCCCUUAUUCCACCCGAAACUUCCACCGUUUUAAGUAAUCUAAAAGAAAAGCAUAAACACAAAUGUAAGCGCCGCAAUCACGAUUACCUUAGUUAUGACAAAAUGAAGAGACAGAAGCGAAAAAGGAAAAAGAAGUAUCCUCAGCUUCGAGGUAGGCAGGACCCAGAUUUCCUCGCUGAAUUAGAAGAAUUAAUAAGUCGAUUGAGUGAAAUUAGAAUAACCCACAGAAGUCAUCAUUUUAUACCCCGAGAUUUACUGCCUACCAUUUUUAGGAUAAAUUUCAAUAGUUUCUAUACCCAUCCUACUUUUCCUUUAGAUCCUUUGCACUACAUUAGAAAACCCGAUUUAAAGAAAAAGAGAGGCAGGCCUCCAAAAAUGCGGGAGGCUAUGGCAGAAAUGCCUUUUAUGCAUAGUCUCAGCUUUCCGCUCUCCAGUACUGGGUUCUACCCCUCUUAUGGCAUGCCUUAUUCUCCUUCUCCCCUUGCAGCUGCUCCCAUAGGCUUAGGUUAUUACGGAAGGUACCCUCCAACUCUUUAUCCUCCUCCGCCUUCUCCUUCUUUUACUACCCCCCUGCCACCACCUUCCUACAUGCAUACAGGCCAUUUGCUUCUCAAUCCCACCAAAUAUCACAAGAAGAAGCAUAAACUUUUACGCCAGGAGGCUUUCCUCACAACAGGUAGGACUCCGCUUUUGUCAAUGAGCACAUACCCCAGUGUUCCACCUGAAAUGGCUUAUGGCUGGAUGCUCGAACAUAAGCAUAGACAUCGCCACAAACACAGAGAACAUCGUUCUUCUGAACAACCGCAGGUGUCCAUGGACAGUAUAACAGCUAAUAGCUCUUCUAGAACAGUUCUGGAGUCCUUGAAGCGCUACAGAUUUGGAAAGGAGGCUGUUGGUGAGAGGUACAAACAUAAGGAGAAACACAGAUGUCACAUGUCUUGUCCACAUCUGUCACCCUCAAAGGGUUUGCUAAGCAGAGAUGAACAGUGGGUCAGGAGAGAGCCUUCGGAGUCUAAUUCGUUAGCACUGGGGUUGCAGACACCGCUACAGAUAGACUGUUCAGAAAAUUCCCCAGGUCUGUCCCUGGGGGGAUUUACUCCAAGCUCUGAGCCAGCCAGCAACGAUGAACAUACAAAUCUUUUCACAAGUGCAAUAGGCAGCUGCAGAGUCACAAACUCUACCAGCACCAAUGGACGUAAAAAAUUAACCGACAGCCCUGGACUCUUCAGUGCACAAGACACCUCAUUAGGUCGACCUCUCAGAAAGGAGCCAUUGCCUUCUAUUGAAAAGGCACUACAGCCACUGUCAG